AUGAGCAAAUGUAGCAGGAAAAAAUAUAUUAGGACGAAUCUAAGGUCUCUGUACCUGGAUCAGGCACCGGAAGAGGCUCUCCAGCUGUAACUCUAGUGCAGUUACCUUCGGGCCAAACUGUGCAUGUCCAGGGAGUAAUUCAGACACCACAGCCAUCGGUUAUUCAGUCACCACAGAUACAAACUGUUCAGGUAGCAACAGUUGCAGAGACAGAUGAGUCUGCAGAAUCAGAAGGUGUAAUUGAUUCUCAUAAACGUAGAGAAAUCCUUUCACGAAGACCCUCUUAUAGAAAAAUACUGAAUGAACUGUCCUCUGAUGUGCCUGGUGUGUCCAAGAUUGAAGAAGAAAAAUCAGAGGAAGAAGGAACGCCACCUAACAUCGCUACCAUGGCAGUACCGACUAGCAUAUAUCAGACUAGCACGGGGCAAUACACCGCCACUGGUGACAUGCCAACUUACCAGAUCCGAGCUCCUACUACUGCUUUGCCUCAGGGUGUAGUGAUGGCUGCCUCGCCGGGGAGUCUGCACAGUCCCCAGCAGCUAGCAGAAGAAGCCACACGCAAGCGAGAGCUGAGGCUUAUGAAGAACAGGGAAGCUGCCCGGGAGUCGGCUAAAGAAUGUCGACGUCGAAAGAAAGAAUAUGUAAAAUGUCUGGAGAGUCGGGUCGCAGUGCUGGAGGUCCAGAACAAGAAGCUCAUAGAGGAGCUGGAAACCUUGAAAGACAUUUGCUCUCCCAAAACAGAUUAGUAGAAAUAUUUAACUAUGAACUGACAACAGCAUGUGUACAGUUGCUUUUGAAGGCAAUACAAUAUAUAGCCAGCAAGAAUGAUGACUUUUUUCCUUUGUAUCAUUCACCUUACUCUCUAAUCUCUAACAUUCCUAAAAUACUUCAUUGUACGUAGUUAAGUCUUAGCUAUGACUUCAAUUUUUUUAAAGCGACAAACUGUAAAAAAAAUGUAUGUAACAGAUUCUUAAAAUGCAGUAUUUUCCCAUGCCACCUAUUUGCAGUUCCCGAGCUCUGUGUCAUGAAUAGUGUCCUAUGCAAUAAAAUUUUUUGCAGGUCUUUAAAAAUCAUUUUAGGGAAGGAUGAUCAAAGAUAAUGCAUCCAGCAGUACAGUAAAAUUCAAUCACAAAAAAAUACCUCAGGAAAGAAUUGAAAGAAAGUAUAUCUAAUGAUACGUGUAUGUGAGAAUAGCCUAGAAAUGAACUUAUGGCAUCUGCAGAUUUUUAUAUUAGUUGCUUUGUAAAGAAAAUAUUAUAUUGCUGUCCUUGAAUGCCAUAGUUGAAGAGAGUUUUUAAUAGAACCAUGUUGGUUGCACUUUG